rnacentral:lncRNA from 1 species
ACAAGGAAGGUUCCAGGAAGACUAGUUCUGGAUGCAUGCAGUAACAGUAUGAUGCGGAGUUUACAUAACGGGAUGUAGGCAGCAAGGGCCUACCAACUACUACCAAUUAGCAACCAUUUGCUUCUACCACUCAACAAAACAAGACGCUCAUCUGAGUAUCGGAUGCUGGGACGACAGCAAUGAACAAUACAUCACGCGAUGAACACCUGGAUCCUAUCUCCCAUGCCGUCCUCAAAAUCAAGCAGUAUCUGCCCAUUCUGGGGGUUGUCCGAAUCCAUAGGCGCAUUCCGAAGCCUUUCCAUGAU